UCUGGGUCGAAUAGUCGAAGUAUUGAUUUGCUUGAUUAGUGUUCAAAGUAGGUCGCCUAAGUCUUAUCCUAUAUUAAUGACGAAAUAAGAAAUUUUGACACUUUGUGCUGGUUAAUUUACAGUUAACAACAGAGGACGAAAUGACCUUGUGAUAUUUGGUAUUUGUGUCUACAUUGGUGAAUUUGUUUAAAGAUUCAGCUGGGACUGUUUGUUCUGAAGCCGUUACAGAUGGAACCACCGUACUGAACAUGUGUGAAGAU